rnacentral:rRNA from 1 species
CGAACUUCCGUUAAUUGAUUAUGACGUACUUGUACUGAUUGAGAUUUUAACACGAAGUGAGUGGCGAACGGGUGAGUAACACGUGGGUAACCUGCCCAGAAGUAGGGGAUAACACCUGGAAACAGAUGCUAAUACCGUAUAACAGAGAAAACCGCAUGGUUUUCUUUUAAAAGAUGGCUCUGCUAUCACUUCUGGAUGGACCCGCGGCGUAUUAGCUAGUUGGUGAGGUAAAGGCUCACCAAGGCAGUGAUACGUAGCCGACCUGAGAGGGUAAUCGGCCACAUUGGGACUGAGACACGGCCCAGACUCCUACGGGAGGCAGCAGUAGGGAAUCUUCCACAAUGGACGCAAGUCUGAUGGAGCAACGCCGCGUGAGUGAAGAAGGGUUUCGGCUCGUAAAGCUCUGUUGUUAAAGAAGAACGUGGGUAAGAGUAACUGUUUACCCAGUGACGGUAUUUAACCAGAAAGCCACGGCUAACUACGUGCCAGCAGCCGCGGUAAUACGUAGGUGGCAAGCGUUAUCCGGAUUUAUUGGGCGUAAAGCGAGCGCAGGCGGUCUUUUAAGUCUAAUGUGAAAGCCUUCGGCUCAACCGAAGAAGUGCAUUGGAAACUGGGAGACUUGAGUGCAGAAGAGGACAGUGGAACUCCAUGUGUAGCGGUGAAAUGCGUAGAUAUAUGGAAGAACACCAGUGGCGAAGGCGGCUGUCUGGUCUGCAACUGACGCUGAGGCUCGAAAGCAUGGGUAGCGAACAGGAUUAGAUACCCUGGUAGUCCAUGCCGUAAACGAUGAUUACUAAGUGUUGGAGGGUUUCCGCCCUUCAGUGCUGCAGCUAACGCAUUAAGUAAUCCGCCUGGGGAGUACGACCGCAAGGUUGAAACUCAAAAGAAUUGACGGGGGCCCGCACAAGCGGUGGAGCAUGUGGUUUAAUUCGAAGCUACGCGAAGAACCUUACCAGGUCUUGACAUCUUCUGACAGUCUAAGAGAUUAGAGGUUCCCUUCGGGGACAGAAUGACAGGUGGUGCAUGGUUGUCGUCAGCUCGUGUCGUGAGAUGUUGGGUUAAGUCCCGCAACGAGCGCAACCCUUAUUACUAGUUGCCAGCAUUAAGUUGGGCACUCUAGUGAGACUGCCGGUGACAAACCGGAGGAAGGUGGGGACGACGUCAAAUCAUCAUGCCCCUUAUGACCUGGGCUACACACGUGCUACAAUGGAUGGUACAACGAGUCGCGAGACCGCGAGGUUAAGCUAAUCUCUUAAAACCAUUCUCAGUUCGGACUGUAGGCUGCAACUCGCCUACACGAAGUCGGAAUCGCUAGUAAUCGCGGAUCAGCAUGCCUC